rnacentral:rRNA from 1 species
AUUGAACGCUGGCGGCAUGCUUUACACAUGCAAGUCGAACGGUAACAGGCCGCAAGGUGCUGACGAGUGGCGAACGGGUGAGUAAUGCAUCGGAACGUGCCCAGUCGUGGGGGAUAACGCAGCGAAAGCUGUGCUAAUACCGCAUACGAUCUAUGGAUGAAAGCGGGGGACCGUAAGGCCUCGCGCGAUUGGAGCGGCCGAUGUCAGAUUAGGUAGUUGGUGGGGUAAAGGCCCACCAAGCCAACGAUCUGUAGCUGGUCUGAGAGGACGACCAGCCACACUGGGACUGAGACACGGCCCAGACUCCUACGGGAGGCAGCAGUGGGGAAGUUUGGACAAUGGGCGCAAGCCUGAUUCAGCAAUGCCGCGUGCAGGAAGAAGGCCUUCGGGUUGUAAACUGCUUUUGUACGGAACGAAACGGUCCGGGUUAAUACCCUGGGCUAAUGACGGUACCGUAAGAAUAAGCACCGGCUAACUACGUGCCAGCCGCCGCAGUAAAAC